AGCCAGACCAUAUGACAUUGUAAAGAGGUCCUCUAUUCCUGUGAACGAGAGGAGCCUGCCACAAGACACCCACCAGUUGUUGUGCGGAAGCGGCAAAUGAGUCCCACACACAUGGAUCCAAUAAUGCCGAUACUCCCCCCACUUUAGCCACCCAGUGCAGAACAGACUUUGAAGUUAAGUGAUGACAUCCAUCUCAAUGAGAUUGAUUAUGCCCGUUUGAUCGUCUCUGCAAAUCAAGAGUGGGGCUUAGGAAGAGAGCCACCAGAAAUUUUGCGCCUUGCAACAGCUCUCUAUACACAUUUAAGGGCUGUUGUGCUUAAUCAGGGACUUGAAGCUGACGUUGUAUCUGACAUUCAAAAAUAUUCUGAAAAUCAUAUAAAUAAUGGGCUUAGACAGAGGAACUUAAUAGAGAAGAACCAGCUGGCCUGGGUGGGCCUCAUUCUGAACGUUAUGUUCUUGAUUCUAGAGGUGCUCUUGUUGUGCGACAAGCUAUGGUUUCCCGGGGAAGGCUCAUGCUUGGACCUCGUUCUUUCUAUUCUGGUUGUGCAGACAAGUCCAAAGGCUGUAAAGGAUAUAUUUCUCGUUUGUAAAGAUAAUGCUUCUGAACUUAGUGGGACUAAUGACACCACAAAACGCCAGGCGUGUUCCAUCCUUUGAGUUGAAUGAUUUACUUUUGCUUAGUGCAUAUUUCUG